rnacentral:misc_RNA from 1 species
UCCGGUUUGUCACCGGCAGUCUCCUUAGAGUUCCCGACCGAAUCGCUGGCAACUAAGGACAAGGGUUGCGCUCGUUACGGGACUUAACCCAACAUCUCACGACACGAGCUGACGACAGCCAUGCAGCACCUGUCACCCGGUUCCCGAAGGCACUCCACCAUCUCUGGUAGAUUCCGGGGAUGUCAAGGGUAGGUAAGGUUUUUCGCGUUGCAUCGAAUUAAACCACAUGCUCCACCGCUUGUGCGGGCCCCCGUCAAUUUCUUUGAGUUUUAAUCUUGCGACCGUACUCCCCAGGCGGAGAACUUAACGCGUUAGCUUCGCUACUAAAGGGUGACCCCUCCAACAGCUAGUUCUCAUCGUUGACAGCGUGGACUAC